UACGUAGGCAGCGAGCGUUUGUUCGGAAUUACUGGGCGUAAGGAGUGUGUAGGCGGUGCUCUAAGUUCGGUGUGAAAUCUCCUGGCUCAACUGGGAGGGUGCGCCGGAAACUGGAGUGCUUGAGCGUGGGGAGAGGAAAGCGGAAUUCCUGGUGUAGCGGUGAAAUGCGUAGAGAUUGGGAAGAACACCAGUGGCGAAGGCGGCUAUCUGGACGGUUUCUGACGCUAAGACGCGAAAGCGUGGGGAGCAAACAGG
rnacentral:rRNA from 1 species